AUUGAACGCUGGCGGCAGGCCUAACACAUGCAAGUCGAGCGGACGAAGGGAGCUUGCUCUUGGAUUCAGCGGCGGACGGGUGAGUAAUGCCUAGGAAUCUGCCUGGUAGUGGGGGAUAACGUCCGGAAAGGGGCGCUAAUACCGCAUACGUCCUGAGGGAGAAAGUGGGGGAUCUUCGGACCUCACGCUAUCAGAUGAGCCUAGGUCGGAUUAGCUAGUUGGUGGGGUAAAGGCCUACCAAGGCGACGAUCCGUAACUGGUCUGAGAGGAUGAUCAGUCACACUGGAACUGAGACACGGUCCAGACUCCUACGGGAGGCAGCAGUGGGGAAUAUUGGACAAUGGGCGAAAGCCUGAUCCAGCCAUGCCGCGUGUGUGAAGAAGGUCUUCGGAUUGUAAAGCACUUUAAGUUGGGAGGAAGGGCAGUAAGUUAAUACCUUGCUGUUUUGACGUUACCAACAGAAUAAGCACCGGCUAACUUCGUG
rnacentral:rRNA from 1 species